rnacentral:tRNA from 1 species
GUUGUCUUGGCCGAGUGGUUAAGUUAGAUAGACUAGAAAUAUUUUGGGAUCUUCCCGCGCAGGUUCGAAUCCUGCCGAUAACG